rnacentral:misc_RNA from 1 species
GAUGAAGAACGCAGCGAAAUGCGAUAAGUAAUGUGAAUUGCAGAAUUCAGUGAAUCAUCGAAUCUUUGAACGCACAUUGCGCCCGCCAGCACUCUGGCGGGCAUGCCUGUUCGAGCGUCAUUUCAACCAUCAAGCCCCCAGGGGCUUGUGCUGGGGCCCUGCGGCUGCCCGCAGGCCCUGAAAACCAGUGGCGGGCUCGCUAGUCACACCGAGCGCAGUAGCACAUCUCGCUCAGGGCGUGCGGCGGGCUCCUGCCGUGAAACCCCCCACUGUAACCCCAAAGGUUGACCUCGGAUCAGGUAGGAAUACCCGCUGAACUUAAGCAUAUCAAUAAUCGGAGGA